GGUUGUAGCUUAGUGGUAGAGCAUCUGCCUAGCAUGUGUGAGGCACUGGGUUCAAUCCUCAGCACCA
rnacentral:tRNA from 1 species